UAGGGAAUCUUCCACAAUGGACGCAAGUCUGAUGGAGCAACGCCGCGUGAGUGAAGAAGGUUUUCGGAUCGUAAAGCUCUGUUGUUGGUGAAGAAGGAUAGAGGCAGUAACUGGUCUUUAUUUGACGGUAAUCAACCAGAAAGUCACGGCUAACUACGUGCCAGCAGCCGCGGUAAUACGUAGGUGGCAAGCGUUGUCCGGAUUUAUUGGGCGUAAAGCGAGCGCAGGCGGAAUGAUAAGUCUGAUGUGAAAGCCCACGGCUCAACCGUGGAACUGCAUCGGAAACUGUCAUUCUUGAGUGCAGAAGAGGAGAGUGGAAUUCCAUGUGUAGCGGUGGAAUGCGUAGAUAUAUGGAAGAACACCAGUGGCGAAGGCGGCUCUCUGGUCUGCAACUGACACUGAGGCUCGAAAGCAUGGGUAGCGAACAGG
rnacentral:rRNA from 1 species